UACGGAGGAUGCGAGCGUUAUCCGGAUUUAUUGGGUUUAAAGGGUGCGUAGGCGGACGCUUAAGUCAGCGGUAAAAUUGCGGGGCUCAACCUCGUCGAGCCGUUGAAACUGGGUGCCUUGAGUGGGCGAGAAGUACGCGGAAUGCGUGGUGUAGCGGUGAAAUGCAUAGAUAUCACGCAGAACUCCGAUUGCGAAGGCAGCGCACCGGCGCCCUACUGACGCUCAGGCACGAAAGCGUGGGUAUCGAACAGG
rnacentral:rRNA from 1 species